UUCUGGCUCAGGAUGAACGCUGGCGGCGUGCAUAACACAUUCAAGUCGAACGGUGAAGCGCCUUCGGGUGCGGAUCAGUGGCGGACGGGUGAGUAACGCGUGAGCAACCUGCCGUAUAGUGGGGGAUAACACAGGGAAACUUGUGCUAAUACCGCAUGACACACAGGAAUCGCAUGGUUUUUUGUGUCAAAGAUUUAUUGCUGUACGAUGGGCUCGCGUAUGAUUAGACAGUUGGCAGGGUAACGGCCUACCAAAUCAACGAUCAUUAGCCGAACUGAGAGGUUGAACGGCCACAUUGGGACUGAGAAACGGUCCAGACUCCUACGGGAGGCAGCAGUGGGGAAUAUUGGGCAAUGGGCGAAAGCCUGACCCAAGCGACGCCGCGUGAGGGAAGAAGGUCUUCGGAUUGUAAACCUCUUUCAGCAGGGAAGAAAAGAUGACGGUACCUGCAGAAGAAGUCACGGCUAACUACGUGCCAGCAGCCGC
rnacentral:rRNA from 1 species